UCUACUUCUUUCUUCUUGAUGCCUCCAGAUUACAUAGAAUAUUGUAUUGAUGAUAUACUGUUUUUAUGUCUUCCAUGAAAAUAGAAGCCAGUGUUACUUUUUGUAUCUUAGAUGUGCUAAAGUUGAUUUUUUCCAUCUUCGUAUGUGAUGUGGACCUUGGUGGCCCAACAAAAGCUAUAUAUGUGAUGUGUUUUACUCUUAAGCAAGUGCAAUCAAGCAGAAGAUAUAAAAUACCAGCAUUCAUCAUGAAGGUCGAAUAAAAUGGUUUAAAACAAACUGCUGCAAUGCAAUAUAUAAACUCUGGCUCCACGAAGCAUAUCAGGCCUUGUGCAUGUUAAAAAUCUCAAGCUUCCCGAAGAUACUUCUAUAGAGUACUGAGGCCACUUUCUUACGAUAAUUUUUGACCCAUAAUCAAUGGGGUCAUUCAUUGACUUGCUAUUCUGCAUUAAAGUUAUCUUGUAUCUAGCUUGCAUAAGCUUCUUGAGAUGAAUGCAUCAACAUAUUGCUUCACUCCACUGCUAAGAUAUUAUAAGAUAUGUGAUCACUGUUAGUCAUCUCAAAUAUUCAUGCCAUCACUUGUUUGAAUUCACUAAAUAUUUUUUAAUUACGCACACCUCGAUCAUUUCAUCGGGUACUGAUACCUCUACAGCAUAUAUACCGGCGUAUCAGGGAAGAAGAAAGAAUAUCAGUGACAAGAAUAUUAGAGAGUUUUAACUUUAGCCCUGUCAUUGGCAUAAAGGUUCUCAUGGAGAAAUCUCUGAUUAUGGUUUCACAAGGUCAGAUUUUAGUGCAUCAAUUGAUUCAAGAACUUGGAUUUUACACAAGAAGUUAAUGUCAGCAGUGCAGCUUUCACACAAAUGAGCAGACUAAGGUGUCUCAGUAUCCAGACUACAAAUGUUCCUUUUUGUUUUCUUGCUCUUUAAUUUGUUUCAUUAUGACAGGUUCUAGGAAAAUUGAAAUAACAUCAACCUUAGCCAAUCACAGAAGCUAGUAAGGACCCUGGAUUUUUUCAGGUACCUCUAAUCUUGAAAGGUUGGUUCUUGAAGGAUGCACAAAUAUGGUUCAAGUCAAUUUUUAGAUUCAAGUAUCUUGAAAGGUUGGUUCUUGAAGGCUGCACAAAUUUGGUACAAGUCAAUUUUUAGAUUCAAGUGUCUUAAGAAUACUUGCUCUAUGAGGUUGAUCAAGACUCGAAAAAUUAUCAGAUGACACGGGACACGAAACAGGAAUUUGGUAUAUUUUUUCAGUUUUUCGUGAUCAUUAGCCUAUUAAUAUUCUGUAAAUAUACUUUUUUGCUCCAAAUUUGGCUGGACUAUGCGUAAUUACCUAGUGAAUGAUACUUAUAGCUUUUGUAAAA